GCGCCAUUGGGGAGGGCUGAGACGAAGGUGUACACUACGCAGGCGCUUGUAGCUGGAGGCGGACAGUUGGGCACCGGGCAUGCGCCGCUGGAACAGAGUGAGGCUCGGAACGCGCAGGCGCCAACGGACGCGAGGUGGGGACACCAUGGGGCGAGGGAAGCCUGGGCCAGUGCAGAUCGUCUUGGUGCACAAAGAAGCCCACUCCUUUGAGCUGGACGAGAAGGCGCUGAGCCGGGUGCUGCUGCAGGAAUCUAUCCGGGACAUGGACGUGGUGGUGGUGUCGGUAGCUGGGGCCUUCCGGAAAGGGAAAUCUUUCCUGCUGGACUUCAUGCUGCGUUACAUGUACACUCAGAAGGAAGGUGGCGCGUCCAGCUGGCUGGGGCAAGAGGAUGAGCCCCUGCUGGGGUUUUCAUGGCGUGGAGGCUCAGACCCCGAGACCACCGGGAUCCAGAUCUGGAGUGAGGUGUUCACCGUGGAAAAGCGAGAUGGGAAAAAGGUGGCAGUGGUUCUGAUGGACACCCAGGGUGCCUUCGACAGCCAGUCGACCGUCAAGGACUGUGCCACCAUCUUUGCGCUCAGCACCAUGACCAGCUCCAUCCAGAUCUAUAACCUGUCCCAGAACAUCCAGGAGGACGACCUGCAGCAGCUGCAGCUCUUCACAGAGUACGGGCGCCUAGCCAUGGACGAGAUCUUCCUCAAACCAUUCCAGACCCUGAUGUUCCUGGUCCGGGACUGGAGCUUCCCUUACGAGUACCCCUAUGGCCUGGAGGGGGGAAGGAACUUCCUGGAGAAGCGGCUGGAGGUGAAGACCCAUCAGCAUGAGGAGAUCCAGAACGUCCGCAGGCACAUCCACUCCUGUUUCACCAAUGUCAACUGCUUCCUCCUACCACACCCAGGGCUCAAGGUGGCCACUAGCCCCGGCUUUGAUGGGCGACUAAAAGACAUUGCUGCCGAGUUCAAGGAGCAACUCCAGCAGCUCAUCCCAAUUGUUCUGGACCCUCGCCAGCUGUUGGAGAAGGAGAUCAAUGGUUCCAAGGUCACCUGCCGAGGCCUGCUGGAGUAUUUCAAGGCGUAUAUCAAGAUCUACCAAGGAGAGGACCUGCCUCACCCCAAAUCCAUGCUCCAGGCCACCGCCGAAGCCAAUAACUUAGCAGCUGUGGCCUCUGCCAAGGACAUGUAUUACAACAAGAUGGAGCAGAGAUGCAACUUCCCAUAUGAUGCUCCCUUCCCCCCCAGAUGUGCGGGGGCGAUAAACCCUACAUCUCCCCGGAGAUCUUGGAGGAGAAGCACCAGCAGCACCGUGCGUUGGCCCUGGAGCACUUCCAGAAGAUCAAGAAGAUGGGGGGGAAGGAGUUCAGCCAGCGCUACGAGGCGGAGCUGGAGAAGGAGAUGGGCGAGCUCUUUGAGCACUUCGCCAAGCACAACAAGAGCAAGAACAUCUUCAGCACCUUCCGCACGCCGGCCGUCAUCUUCAGCGCCAUCGUGGCCCUCUACUUGGGCUCGGGCCUCACUGGCUUCAUGGGGCUGGAUGUGGCUGCCCAGCUCUGCAACUGUGUGGUAGGGCUGCUGCUGAUCGCCCUGCUGGCCUGGGGCUACAUCCGUUACUCAGGCCAGUACCGGGACCUGGGCGUGGUCAUCGACACUACCGCCGACUUCGUCUUGGAGCAGGCCACUUCCCGCAUGGGCAACACCACUCGGGCCGCUGUAGCUGACACAUCGGGUGCAAGGGCUCCGCCUGACAAGAAAACCCAGUGAAGCUUUCGUGCCAAGGCUGAGUUGGGGCUUUGCAAAGUCCUGUGCUCCUGCUGCAGCUGCUGCUGGCUGGGAGUGACUCCAGGCCCGCAAAUCUCGACUCCUCUCUUCUUUCAUUCCUGUUCCUUUCCCCCUUCAUCUUUCCUUCGCUUCCCCCCCGUUCUUCUUCUUUUUUUUUUUUUGCACUUUAAAAAAAAAAAGACCAACUGCAGCUUUAACCUCCUACCUGUGCCAGCCAGUGCCUUGUCACCGGGAUGGGGCAUCCUCCCCACCGGACUCACAUUCCUGCUCCUGGGAGCGGCCCCUGGUCUGGAGACCACAUCUGGAUCCCGGCUCCUUAAUGGUUAUUUCUCAUCGCAUGGAAUCGGCUCCCCUUCAGCAGGGGGCGCGGGCAGGUGCUGUUGUACAAUCCGAGGCUCCCCCCUCACUUCCUGCUCCAACCCGGGAGGUGCAGAUGCUUUGGUGUCUUCCCUCCAGCCCAGCGGAAGGGAUGGGUCCUCAAGGCCUGAGCAGAGUAACCGUCGCUGUUCCUCAUUUCCCCUCCCUGCCCCUUGUGCCUUGGUAGAACUGAACCAUGUCGUUGGGUCUCAUGGAGAAGAGGGGAACCUCCCUCGAUCAGCUGCUGCCUUAGGGUGUGGUGGGAAUCGUACCAAAAAAUACAAAGACACCCCCCCACCCUUCCCUGUGCCAGAGAGAGCCUUCAGCCUACAGCAUGCUGCCCAGCCCUAGCUAACAUUGGCCAAGGGCCAGCGAGCCCCAUGGCAUGAUUCUGGCGCUGUGCUGCCAGCCAGCCUGGGCUCCUUAGGCAGGGCCAACACUGCUUCUAGACGUGCAACCCACCCGUGGGCCCCUGCCUGCAUUGAGAGAGACUCCUAGCCUGUGUCUCUGGCGUGGACCAACGUGGUCUAUUCAAUCUCCAGUCACACUUUCCCCUGUCCAGGGUUAACACCCCUCACCACCACCCAGGGCCGCCCAGAGGAUUCCGGGGGCCCGGGGUCUUCGGCGGCGGGGGGCCCUUCCGUUCCGGGACCCGCCGCCGAAGUGCCCCAAGACCCGCGGCGGGAGCCCCCCGCCG